CCUACGGGAGGCAGCAGUGGGGAAUAUUGGACAAUGGGGGCAACCCUGAUCCAGCCAUGCCGCGUGUGUGAAGAAGGCCCUCGGGUUGUAAAGCACUUUCAGUGAGGAAGAACGCCUGGUGGUUAAUACCCAUCAGGAAAGACAUCACUCACAGAAGAAGCACCGGCUAACUCCGUGCCAGCAGCCGCGGUAAUACGGAGGGUGCGAGCGUUAAUCGGAAUUACUGGGCGUAAAGCGCGCGUAGGUGGCUUGAUAAGCCGGUUGUGAAAGCCCCGGGCUCAACCUGGGAACGGCAUCCGGAACUGUCAAGCUAGAGUGCAGGAGAGGAAGGUAGAAUUCCCGGUUUAGGGGUGAAAUGCGUAGAGAUCGGGAGGAAUACCAGUGGCGAAGGCGGCCUUCUGGACUGACACUGACACUGAGGUGCGAAAGCGUGGGUAGCAAACAGGAUUAGAUACCCCUGUAGUC
rnacentral:rRNA from 1 species